GACGAACGCUGGCGGCGUGCCUAACACAUGCAAGUCGAACGGAAAGGCCCUGCUUUCGUGGGGUGCUCGAGGGGCGAACGGGUGCGUAACACGUGAGUAACCUGCCCUUGAUUUUCGGGUAACUUCAGGAAACGGGGGCUAAUCUCGGAUAGGAGCUCCUGCACCAUGGUGGGGGUUGGAAAGUCUCGGCGGUUGGGGAUGGACUGGCGGGUUAUCAGCUUGUUGGUGGGGUAGUGGGUUACCAAGGCUGUGGCGGGUAGCCGGCCUGAGAGGGUGACCGGCGACAUUGGGACUGAGGUGCGGCCCAGACUGCUACGGGAGGCAGCAGUGGGGAAGAUUGCACAAUGGGCGGAAGGCUGGUGCAGCAGGGCCGCGUGUGGGAUAGCGGCCUUGGGGGUAUAGACCGCUAGCGCCUGAGACGAAGGGUGAGUGAAGGGAAUGGGUAGAAAAGGACCGGCUAACUACGUG
rnacentral:rRNA from 1 species